rnacentral:rRNA from 1 species
AGAGUUUGAUCCUGGCUCACCACGAAAGAUGGNNGCGUGCUUAACACAUGCAAGUCGAACGAGACUUUUGAAAGCUUGCUUUUGAAAGUCGAGUGGCAAACGGGUGAGUAACGCGUAGACAACCUGCCGUAAAGAUGGGGACAACAGUCCGAAAGGACUGCNAAUACCGAAUGUUGUGGAACUUCCGCAUGGGAGCUCCACUAAAGAUGGCCUCUACUUGUAAGCUAUCGCUUUACGAUGGGUCCGCGUCUGAUUAGCUAGUUGGUGGGGUAACGGCUUUACCAAGGCUACGAUCAGUAUCCGGUCUGAGAGGAUGAACGGCCCCUUGGAACUGAAACACGGGUCCAGACUCCUACGGGAUGGCUGCGUGGGAAAUCUUCCGCAAUGGGGCGCUAGCCUGACGGAUCAACNCCUCGUGAGUGAAAAAUGGGG